CAGGGAAUAUUAGUAAUGGGCGAAGGCCUGAACCAGCAACGCCGCGUGUGCGAAGAAGGCCUUCGGGUUGUAAAGCACUUUUUGAGAGGAUGAGGAAGGACGGUACUCUCAGAAUAAGUCUCGGCUAACUACGUGCCAGCAGCCGCGGUAACACGUAGGAGGCGAACGUUAUCCGGAUUUACUGGGCGUAAAGCGCGUGUAGGUGGUUUGGUAAGUAGGGCGUGAAAGCUCCUGGCUCAACUGGGAGAGGCCGUUCUAAACUGCCGAACUAGAGGAUGGUAGAGGGAGGUGGAAUUCCGGGUGUAGCGGUGGAAUGCGCAGAUAUCCGGAGGAACACCAGGGCGAAAGCGGCCUCCUGGACCACUCCUGACACUCAGACGCGAAAGCUAGGGUAGCAAACGG
rnacentral:rRNA from 1 species